rnacentral:rRNA from 1 species
AGAGUUUGAUCCUGGCUCAGGAUAAACGCUGGCGGCGCACAUAAGACAUGCAAGUCGAACGAACUUAACCAUUAGUUUACUAUUGGAGCGGUUAGUGGCGGACUGGUGAGUAACACGUAAGCAACCUGCCUAUCAGAGGGGAACAACAGUUAGAAAUGACUGCUAAUACCGCAUAUGCCUUAGAAUCACAUGGUUCGAAAGGGAAAGGAGCAAUCCGCUGAUAGAUGGGCUUGCGUCUGAUUAGCUAGUUGGUGGGGUAAUGGCCUACCAAGGCGACGAUCAGUAGCCGAACUGAGAGGUUGAACGGCCACAUUGGGACUGAGAUACGGCCCAGACUCCUACGGGAGGCAGCAGUCGGGAAUAUUGCGCAAUGGAGGAAACUCUGACGCAGUGACGCCGCGUGCAGGAAGAAGGUUUUCGGAUUGUAAACUGCUUUAGACAGGGAAGAACAAAGACAGUACCUGUAGAAUAAGCUCCGGCUAACUACGUGCCAGCAGCCGCGGUAAUACGUAGGGAGCGAGCGUUAUCCGGAUUUAUUGGGUGUAAAGGGUGCGUAAACGGGAAGUCAAGUUAGUUGUGAAUCCCUCG